rnacentral:rRNA from 1 species
CGUAGGGUGCAAGCGUUAAUCGGAAUUACUGGGCGUAAUGCGUGCGCAGGCGGCUUUGCAAGACAGAUGUGAAAUCCCCGGGCUUAACCUGGGAACUGCAUUUGUGACUGCAUGGCUGGAGUGCGGCAGAGGGGGAUGGAAUUCCGCGUGUAGCAGUGAAAUGCGUAGAUAUGCGGAGGAACACCGAUGGCGAAGGCAAUCCCCUGGGCCUGCACUGACGCUCAUGCACGAAAGCGUGGGGAGCAAACAGGAUUAGAUACCCUGGUAGUCCACGCCCUAAACGAUGUCAACUGGUUGUUGGACGGCUUGCUGUUCAGUAACGAAGCUAACGCGUGAAGUUGACCGCCUGGGGAGUACGGCCGCAAGGUUG